UACGUAGGGCGCAAGCGUUUGUCCGGAAUUAUUGGGCGUAAAGGGCUCGUAGGCGGUCUGUUGCGUCGGGAGUGAAAACUUACAGCUUAACUGUGAGCGUGCUUUCGAUACGGGCAGACUUGAGGCAUUCAGGGGAGAACGGAAUUCCUGGUGUAGCGGUGAAAUGCGCAGAUAUCAGGAGGAACACCAGUGGCGAAGGCGGCUCACUGGCCCGAUACUGACGCUGAAGCACGAAAGCGUGGGGAGCAAACAGG
rnacentral:rRNA from 1 species